AUUGAACGCUGGCGGCAGGCCUAACACAUGCAAGUCGAACGAGUGGCGGACGGGUGAGUAAUGUCUGGGAAACUGCCUGAUGGAGGGGGAUAACUACUGGAAACGGUAGCUAAUACCGCAUACCAUCGGAUGUGCCCAGAUGGGAUUAGCUUGUUGGUGGGGUAACGGCUCACCAAGGCGACGAUCGAUAGCUGGUCUGAGAGGAUGACCAGCCACACGGGAACGGAGACACGGUCCAGAGUCCUACGGGAGGCAGAAGUGGGGAAUAUUGCACAAUGGGCGCAAGCCUGAUGCAGCCAUGCCGCGUGUAUGAAGAAGGCUGUCGGGUUGUAAAGUACUUGCAGCGGGGAGGCGUUACCCGCAGAAGAAGCACCGGCUAACUCCGUGCCAGCAGCCGCGGUAAUAC
rnacentral:rRNA from 1 species